rnacentral:rRNA from 1 species
UCUUGGCCUCAAAUCAGGUAGGACUACCCGCUGAACUUAAGCAUAUCAAUAAGCGGAGGAAAAGAAACUAACAAGGAUUCCCCUAGUAACUGCGAGUGAAGAGGGAAAAGCUCAAAUUUAGAAUCUGGCAGUUUCGCUGUCCGAGUUGUAAUUAGAGAAG